rnacentral:misc_RNA from 1 species
GACCGGCGUACACGUGCUCCAAUGGAGCACGCAUGUGCCGCGACUCCCAUGACUGGUAGAAAGCUGCGUGCUAAUUCCAGACGGAGCUUUCGCGCGUCACAUCGAUGUUUCCUCCUCGCAUGUGUCGACGCGGCGGCGGCGGAGGCGGCAGUGACGGCUCGGCUACAUCAGCGGCGUUUUACUACUACGGUAGUGGAAGUAAGUAGCAGAACGUAACGUGGAUGGAUAACGGUGUCUUCCUCCGGAGAAAGGAGAUGUUCGCGGCGUGCACGUGAAGUCCAGCGAGCCAGUGUCGCGGAAACUGCGAGAGAAGACGCAAGCCUGCUCGACGGCACCUGGUCCGCUCCUUAGGCGUUCCUGAGGAAGAGUCGAGAACUCGCUGAAAGCUGCGUUUCCCUGAGGCCCUGCUCGCCGGAGGCGUCCCGUUUCGUCGCGCGUCCACUCAGCUUUGCAGUCGACCUUGGGAUUGAUCAUGGACAGAACACGACUGGCAUAUGUCACCGCUGCUGCAGUUGGCGCCGGCACGGCGGUUUUCUUCAUCUGGUGGUGGUGGACCAGAAGACAAAAGCAUCAGCCACCGUCGAAGUGGCGUAAGGUCGGGGAACUGAGCGACUUGUGCGUCUUCCCGGUCAAAUCGCUCGGUGCAGUCCGUCUCACGUCAAUGGAAUGCACGCUGUUAGGCCUAAAGUCCGGUUGGAUGAGAGAUCGCACACUGAUGGUGAUCGAUCUUGACGGACGAUUUAUCACCGCCAGACAACUGCCGAAAAUGGUCCAGGUGUCACCUAAUAUCUCCGGUUCUAUACUAACACUCCGCGCACCAGGGAUGAUGUCGGUGUCGGUGGACCUUGCUCAGCUGCGUGGCAAGGGCUUCCGUGCUGCUGUAUGGGGCCAAGCAGUGCCGGCAUGCGAUUGCGGCGAAGAACCUGCUCGAUGGUUGUCACGCUUCCUUCUUCAGGAGGACGUCGGUCUUAGGCUGGUCUAUUAUACGCUAAACUGGUCGUCGAGGGACGUGAGACAGAUAAACAAGGGUUUCCCUUUGACCGAGGCGAUUGAUACCGGAGCCUAUUCGGACGCGACGAGUUAUACCCUGAUCACCGAGGCCUCGAUAACGGAUCUUAAUAGUCGACUGGAAGAACCAGUCACGCCGCAGCAAUUUCGCAUGAAUUUCGUGGUCAAGGGUGCCACCGCUUACGAGGAAGAUAAAUGGGACUGGGUGAAGAUCGGGGACGUGAUAUUCAGAAAUGUCAAGCCGUGCACGAGGUGCAUCUUCACCACGGUGGAUCCGGAAACCGGCACGAAGAAUUCUAAGGUGGAGCCUUUAAAGACCUUGAAGAGUUACAGGCAGAUAACUGACCCCGAGCUGCGACCUCAUGUUGGCAAUAGUCCGAUUAUGGGUAUUCACCUUGGACUCAGAGGACCCAGCAGAACAGUCCGUUUGGGCGACCCCAUUUACGUGGGUAUACCGGAGAAGGAGGAGGAGGAAACUCCGCCUUUGACUUCGCCGUCAUAGCUGUGGCGUUGGGACUCUUGCGAACAUUUGGAACACGAACGAGGCACCGUUCCGACACACGUAGACGAGGGAAACGAAGAAGCGAAAUCCAAGAUCGACGAUCGCGAUGACAUAAGCGUGCAAUGUUCGUAAAAAUGGUCACAGCUACACUACACGUACAGUUGUAUGGAAAAUGUUAAUGAAUCCCGACACAUUUGACGGAUCAGGCUGGUCAGAGCUAUAAGGUACUAUGGUAAUCGCUGAUGUGUCCUCUGCGACAAGCUUCGCACUGUGGACAAGCAACGAUGUGGGAUUUAAUUAAGUCCACGCGCAAUCUGGGUCUACGAUGUUUCUAUUGUUACGGAAUUGCGUUGGUAGGAAUUGCGUCUUAGAAAUUCGGGAAUAUAUUUUGUUAAACUGUUAGGGUAUAUAAGUGUGUAUCUUGGUAUCUUCAUUCUACGUGUGCAAAUGCGCAGGUGAUGCGUGAGUGAUGCGUGUGUAAAUAAUGUUUACAUGAAACGAUCACGUGAAACGAUUGACUUAGAAUAGAGGGGAACAAAUCUCGAUUCAUUUUGAGAUACGAGACUGGUAGAACUUCGCUAAACGAGAGAAACGACCACAUUUUCAAGCUGUUUCCGCGUAGAUGGACGAAUAUGUUCGAUCUGAAAAAUAUAUCAGGCAAAUGUGUUCGAUAUAACGAACCCGAUAAACAUCAGGUAACAAUAAUAUUUCCUCAACGUUAUAAUCUCCCUUGUGCUCAACAAUGUGAGUGCAACGCAACAGAGAUUGUACGUAGGAAUUGCUUUACUAAGCGAGAAAUCAUAACAACGACGUAACGUUACGUCACUUUGUAAUAACGUAGUAUAUACUGUUAUCCGAUGUUUCCUGGGAGGUGGCUCAUAUUUUAAUACUUCGUCGAAUGUCAAUAAUGUAUACGGCCUCAAAACAAAUGGUAAAGAUAAUGAUUUUGUAAUAACGCGCGUGUAUCGCACAAUAGGGUUUUGCAGAACCAGCGGCAGCCAGCCAGAUAGCACAAUAUAUCCUGGGAUCAUCUUGGACGUCCUCAGGAAGUCUCGGGACAGUUUCCAGGAAUUUUAGAUACGUUCAGGAUCAUUGUGGGAUGUUUAGUGAUGUCCGCACUCGCGAGCUGUACCGAAAUUUCAACGUCACAGAGCUCAAAGCUGAAGUCAGAGCUACAUCGGAAACUACCGGUUGUGCAAAAUGUCAGCCGGCAGAUGGGCAGCGCGUUUGAUCAGAAUGACACAGCGGAUAGUCAUCUUAGCCAUCUGUGUUCGCAUCGAGACUCCUGAUUCCUCACUGCGACCAUUCUGAUUUAUGACAUCAGAAGCGAGGAGAAACUCUUUACAAAGAUUCUUGCAACAUACGUUGAAAUAAAAGGAUAACGCAAAAUGACGAUUACAAUCAAUCGAACAAAUUUGCAAACACUUUCCUUUUGCUUAAACACCAACAAUAAUUAAGCGGAAAAUUACCGUGAGAAAAUUGUGAGAAAAGAGGUUAAAAAAGGCAGGUUGCAUGUCACGUUGAUUUUAUGUUUAUUUAUUGGUUGUUCGAACGAAAAAGAAAGUGCGCUUGGACUGUUUUACAGAUCUGCUCGAUUGAUCGCAAGCGUCAUUUUAUGGAUAUAUCUCAUUUCAGCGUAUUCUUCAUGAAUUCUUAGCGUGUAUCUUCUCGUCUCCGCCAUUGUCAACCAAGUGGUGGAGGAUUACGAGCUUCAAGCCUUAUCUACAAUAUGUGUUCUCUGCUUUCUGUUUUUCUUCUUUCAAAGGAUAAAGCAUAAGAAACAGGAAGCAGGGAGCACAUUGUAGGUCGGGUUUUAAACUCAUAUUCUGUCGACGGAGUCCGCUGACAUAACCUUGACAGCAGAUCGGCGGCAGAAAUUGAACGGGAUCUGCGGUGUAAUCCAUUUAAAUGUGAUCAAACGGUUACGGUGAACGACAAAUCCCGUUCGGCUUCUGUAGGCGAUCAACCAUAUCGUGUUCUGUAAGCAGAUCCUGCUAGAUUUCCGUUAGCGAGCUGACCGCAAAAUUUUCCACCACGCGAAAUCUGUUCGCACAAGUUCAGCUAGCCGUGGCUGAGUGUGAAUCUGUCACCUUGCUUGAUAUCCGGACCAUCGAAUAUUUUUCUAAUUAUAUUUUUGUACCGUAGUGCGGCAAAUUCGAAUAAAUUAUGAGCGUUUCGUCUCACGAAUGCAAGUAA